rnacentral:rRNA from 1 species
UACGGGGGGAGCAAGCGUUGUUCGGAUUUACUGGGCGUAAAGGGCGCGUAGGCGGCCACCGCAAGUCGAUUGUGAAAUCUCCGGGCUUAACCCGGAAAGGUCAACCGAUACUGCGGGGCUAGAGUGCAGAAGGGGCAACUGGAAUUCUCGGUGUAGCGGUGAAAUGCGUAGAUAUCUGGAGGAACACCGGUGGCGAAGGCGGCAUCCUGGACCGGUAUUGACGCUGAGGCGCGAAAGCUAGGGGAGCAAACGGG